rnacentral:sRNA from 1 species
UUUUUGUAUCAGUUAUCCAAUAUGACUUAUAGAACUUAUCAAGGGAGUGAUGCUCUGUUGUAUGUACCCAUGUUUCUGCUAUUUCCAUUAUUUUUUCCAAGAUUCCAUCUUUUAUUACUUCCAUUAGCCAGUCUUCAAAGGCAGUUCUGCUAGUGAGAAAUUCUUUUUGUUUUUCUCUUUCUGAAGAUGACUUUAUUUUCCCUUUAUUCCCAACGAAUAGUUUUAUUUGUGCUAUUUGGGGUUCGCUCAGCUUCUUGAAGCUGUAAGUUUGUGUCUUUUGCCAAACAUGGAAAAUUGUCAACCAUUAUUUCUUCAGGUGUUCUUUCAGUGUCACUCUUUUCUCCAUUCUAGGCCUCUAAUGAUACAAAUGUUGAGUCAUUUGUUACUGUUCCACAUGGACCUGAGGCAUGGUUCAUUUUUCAGUCUAUUUUCUCUCUUUUGUUCAGAUUUCUGUCCUUUGUCAUCUUCACUCUACUGUUGAGCCCAUCUAAUGAUUAUUUUUCUCCUAUUGUAUUUUUUAGGUCUAUAAUUUCCAUUUGCUUUUUUUUCCUUGUAACUUCUGUUUCUUUGCUGAGAUUUUCUAUUGUUUCGUUUUUGAAACAGUAGAACUUGUAAUUGCUUGUCAAAUCAUUUCUCUGAUGGCAGCAUUAAGAUCCUUGUCAGAUAAUUUCAGCAUCUUACUCAUCCCAGUGUUGGCGUUUUCUUUCCUUCAUGUAACUUUCCUGGUUCUUGGUAUGACAGAUAAUUUUUGGAUUGUGUCUCGGACAUUUUAGUUAUUAUAUCAGGAGACUCUGUACUUUUUAAAAAUUUUAACUUCAGUAGUAACCUGUUAAGGUAUAGCAUGUAGGUACUAGCAUAUAUUUGUGAGCUGUGGUUCCAGUGACCAUUUUUCAGAGGCUUUAUGGUGCUGUUUUGGUUUGUUGCUUUUAUCUCAGUCCACUGGGGCUCGCACUGGUUCCUAGUAGUGCUGCUUGAGGGGCCUUCUCCAGGCUGAGCUGCGCAGAGUGUGUUUGGGUGAGGGAAGAGGACCCCCACUAGAUUUUCGUGGGCUGGAGAGUGCUUCCUGAGCCUUGUGCCUGUUGUGGCAGGCUCCCCCUUGCUGGUGUUCCUGACAGUGCUCCUGACCACAUUGUGUCCCUGGGCUGUGGAACACUUGCAGGAAAGGUGAACACUGCCAGGACCAAUUAUAGCAGAAUUCCUCCUGCCAGUACACAGCAGCACUGUGGCUCUGGACCAGCAAGGAGAGUCUCAAGCAUGGGUUUGUUUCUUUUUGAUUUUAAGAUUUUUCUUCUGCCUUCAGGUUCUGGUAUUAUUGUUCUGUUUUAUUCACCUUUAUGUUUCUUCUAGUUUAGUUUUAGUUUCUUUGUAUUUGAUGUGAUUUUUUUCCUUGCAUUUCUAAUUACUCCUUAGUUGUGUCAUGUCUUCCUUUUUUUCAGUUACCCUCAUUCAGAAAUUUCCCAUUUCUAAUGAUUUGUUAUUUUUUAAAUUCUUUUUAGCUCAGUUUGAAAUUUGUUUACAGUUUUCAUGUUUUAUUUGCAUAUUGUUUCAUGUACUUUGAUUUUCUGUAGGGACACCAUUCUCAUGUAUAUGCAAAUACUUUUUCUC